CCGACUAUCAACAGCGACUCCGUGGCCCAAUGGAUAAGGCGCUGGUCUACGAAACCAGAGAUUCUGGGUUCGAUCCCCAGCGGAGUCGAC
rnacentral:tRNA from 1 species